CAUGCAUGGGUGCCCGCGACUUCCGCAGGUGUAGUUUUGUAGCUACGCGGAGGGUCUUCCUGGGUGGGACAGUCAGUACAAAACUUGUUUUACGAAUCUCCCACCAUGUACCAGGAGAUCUUCUAGUGCUACAUUAUACGGUAAUAUACCGCGCCCUAGAUCUAUAGAUACUAGUAGCCUAGAACUUACUUACUUCCCAAGCAUUUCAAGUUUUACUAGAAAGGUCCCACUUCCGUUGGAGAAGGAGCCACGGCCAUAACGAAGCUCAGGUUUGAAAUCACGUCCAAUAGCGAUCACGCUUGUCUUACUAACAGACGUCUAGACCUCCUCUCAAGGACUAGGUCGAUCCGUUGUCACCACAUCCCUAGAAGUCUUGGAUAGCAUAAUCAAAUACCCGUCCGGAAAACCUGUGGCCUGGAUCUGGACGGAGCGGAGGAAGAGAGUGUGCAGAUUUGGAACAGACCCAGCAACAUGGCUAUCAUCAGUGCAUCACUGGCCCACGUUUGCCCUGUGCUGCUUUUCGGCCUCUCCAUAGCUGGUCCAUGGCUCUUCUGUCAAGCAAUGCUCUCUUCCAAUACUGUGCUACAGUCCAUGGCGCAGAAGGAAGUAGAUGACUCACGACUAUCGUGGCUGACGGCGGAUAGUGAUGUCGACAUGGACCGUAUAUCACAGAAGGUAGAUAAUGACGCUGAUGCAGAUUCCAAGUAUGCGAAGAGCCUUGAGCGCAGUGCAAGGCUCCUUGAUCUUAUUCAAACAGCCCUCACUCAGCUCAAAGCGGAACGUGCAAUCCAAGCACAUGUACCAAGACGUACAAUAUUCAAAAAGGGGGGCUGCAACGGCUUGGCGUGCGCCAAGUGCAGGUUUAAGUUCUACCGCCUGAAGCCGAUGUGUCAGCGGUGUGCAUACUGUGGACAGAUUCCAGGGCGCUAACUUACCAACUAGGCUCAAGAGACUGUCUUCGUGCUGACCACACUUCUGUUGUCACCUUUCAGAUUAGAUCUUCUUCGAUCUUUCCAUUUUUCGGAUGGCCAUGCCAGCCAUGUUUGCACUAGGGUUUGUAUCUGUACAUGUAUGAUUAUAAUAGGAUUAUGUUGGCACUGCAGGCUGCAGUAGGGUCACUAGGUGUGCACCGGGGAGUAGUACAAUACCAAUCCCUGGUGUGCACAUAGUCACCGGCCGUGCCCUUGCAGGCAGACAGUGCGGGCAACCUGGCUAUGUAGACCACACGCCCAUUGCACCACGUGUACAUGUCUAUGCAACUUAUCAUUACAUGGCACGGUGUACCUAUGUAUUAUGGGGUGGUACGGUUAGACUGCUAAGUUAGUGAAUACUUUCUGCUGGUGGCGGCAUAGGGCAUGCUUUUGUGAUAAUGACUUCAAGUAUAAUAUCCUUCAAAGUUAGUACUUUCAAAAUAGAAUAUUGUAUUUAGCACCUCCUCUGCUCUCCGAACUGUAUUCUACAUGUAACUGUUAUGGAUUACUCAGUAGCAAACUCGAGAUAUUAUUUGUACGGUCCAGUAUGUCCCGAAAUUGCCUUAAGUGCCAAUACUGUAUGAUGCCUGCAAUAGAUUAAUUAUCCCAA